AACGUGCUCCGGGGUCGGUGUGAAUCCGAACCGGCGGUGACAGUCCGCGAGCCCGCGCGGUCGGCAACGAUUGCGAGGGUUGACCUGGUGGAAUUCCGGGACCGACGGUGAUGCGACGCAACUCGAAUGGGUUGAUCGCUAGUCCGGAUGGGAGGCAGCACGAG
rnacentral:ncRNA from 2 species